CCACACUUACCUUAGCACCGUCAGUUUCUUCCUUCUCUACAUUCCAAACCAUCUUCGGAGCUUCUCUGGUCUGGUUUGUUUUGUUGCUCAUCUGAUUUGCCUGAAGGCCAAUUUCAUCUCCGUAGGUAAACACAGGGGUUCCAGGCAAGGUGAAGAGCAGAAGCUGGUAGAGACGAAUCAGGCCCCGAGUCGUUGCCCGUUUAGACAGACGGUCCUUCUGAGCAGCACCGAGACCCCAGCCUAUUUUUCUCUGCUCAGAGUGGAGGGUCUCCAGGUCCCUAAUGCGCUCUUUACCUGUGGAUAUUCAGGUCAGACAAGAUUAGAUCGACACCAGAGACAUUGACUAGCUGAGACACCUCAUCAGCUGAAAUACUGUUGACCACACCCAUCAGAGCCCUAAAGAAAAGAGAAUAAGAUCAGUGCCAUUUCCCUGGACCGCCAUUCGCAGUUUGGCCCAAUCAGUACUAUUGGAGGGAUCGACAAGGUCAGAUAUCUUGAUGCCAUCAAGACCCUUUUCCAGCCAGUACUCGGCUGCAGCCUGGAAGAGAACAGAUCCAAGUUAACUACAGUGGCAGCAAGACCCGAAUCUACUACACCACAUAAUACUACAUACAUAAUGUCCAAUUUAAUCGUCCAUCCAUGGGGCCAAAAGUCAAAGAUUUGCGAUUGGUUCAUCACAUUUAAAGACAGUGAUGUUGCUUCAUGUGCUUUCUUGCUGGAAAUAAUCAAAUAUUAAAUCUGUGU